GUGCCGUUGGUGUAAUGGUAACAUCCUACUUUCCCAAGGUAGGGCAGUGGGUUCGAUUCCCGCACGGUGCA
rfam:Pyronema omphalodes CBS 100304, CBS100304, WGS project CATG01000000 data, contig: Pcon_v1_contig1657